GACGAACGCUGGCGGCGUGCUUAACACAUGCAAGUCGAACGGAAAGGCCCCUUCGGGGGUACUCGAGUGGCGAACGGGUGAGUAACACGUGAGUAACCUGCCCUUGACUUCGGGAUAACUUCAGGAAACUGGGGCUAAUACCGGAUAGGAAUCCUUGCUGCAUGGUGGGGGUUGGAAAGCUUCGGCGGUUUUGGAUGGACUCGCGGCUUAUCAGCUUGUUGGUGGGGUAGUGGCUUACCAAGGCUUUGACGGGUAGCCGGCCUGAGAGGGCGACCGGCCACAUUGGGACUGAGAUACGGCCCAGACGCCUACGGGAGGCAGCAGUGGGGAAUAUUGCACAAUGGGCGGCAGCCUGAUGCAGAAACGCCGCGUGCGGGAUGACGGCCUUCGGGUUGUAAACCGCUUUCAGCAGGGGCGAAGCUUGUGGUGACGGUACCUGCAGAAGAAGCACCGGCUAACUACGUG
rnacentral:rRNA from 1 species